GAAAGACGUAACGAUUGCCCCGCUGUCUCCAGUGUGGACUCAGUGAAAUUGAAUUCUCCGUGCAGAUGCGGAGUACGUGCCCCAAGACGAGAAGACCCUAUGCAGCUUUACUGUACAUUUGCAUUGACAACAUCAUCUGCAUGCGUAGGAAAGGUGGGAGUAAUGGGAGCUA
rnacentral:rRNA from 1 species